UAUUAGCCCAGAUAGUAACGGCAUCCUUUUCUUUGUUUCUUUAACAAAGAAAAGAUAGAGUGGAUAGCUGGAAAUAGC
rfam:Flavobacterium sp. KMS contig001, whole genome shotgun sequence.